GAUGAAGAACGUAGUGAAAUGCGAUAAGUAAUGUGAAUUGCAGAAUUCAGUGAAUCAUCGAAUCUUUGAACGCAUCUUGCGCUCCUUGGUAUUCUGAGGAGCAUGCCUGUUUGAGUGUCAUUAAAUUCUCAACUACACUGACUUUGAAUUGGUGUGGCUUGGAUUUGGGGGGAAAAUUGUUGUGGGCUUUUUGUAUAGUCUGCUCCCCUGAAAUUGAUUAGCGGUACCUUUGUGGAACUGUCUACAGGUGUGAUAAUUAUAUACAUCUUAGACAUCUGCUGGAAUGCUGCUUUCUAAACCUUACUUGUAUUGACAAUCUUGACCUCAAAUCAGGUAGGACUACCCGCUGAACUUAAGCAUAUCAAUAAGCGGAGGA
rnacentral:misc_RNA from 1 species